rnacentral:misc_RNA from 1 species
GGAAGAGGUAAAGGGCAGAUGAGCCUGAGGUCAAGUAAGAUCUCCACCACCAUAAGUAAUCUUCGCUGCACAACUGGAAGUAGCAGAGGACAAUUGUAAUUUCGGCGCAAGUGAUGAGGAGGAUAAUGAAAACCAAGAAGAGAAAACCAAAAAUGUAGUAGAACUGAUUCAGCCAAAUUGAGGUAAGGAUGAAGAAGAGUUCAAUGAAA